AGCGAACGCUGGCGGCAGGCUUAACACAUGCAAGUCGAGCGGGCACUUCGGUGUCAGCGGCCGACGGGUGAGUAACACGUGGGAACGUACCCUUCGGUUCGGAAUAACGCUGGGAAACUAGCGCUAAUACCGGAUACGCCCUUUUGGGGAAAGGUUUACUGCCGAAGGAUCGGCCCGCGUCUGAUUAGCUAGUUGGUGGGGUAAUGGCCUACCAAGGCGACGAUCAGUAGCUGGUCUGAGAGGAUGAUCGGCCACACGGGGACUGAGACACGGCCCAGACCCCUAGGGGAGGCGGCGGGGGGGAAUAUUGAACAAGGGGCGCAGGCUUAACCCCCCCAGGCCGGGGGAGUAAGGAAGCCCUGAGGGUUGAAAAGCUUUUUGGCCCGGGACGAUAAGGACGGUACCGAAAAAAUAAGCCCCGGCUAACUUCGUC
rnacentral:rRNA from 1 species